GGCCAGGCUGAAGACUUUGCCGGAUUAGCUGAGAGGUGGUGCAUGGCCGUCGUCAGUUCGUACUGUGAAGCAUCCUGUUAAGUCAGGCAACGAGCGAGACCCACGCCCACAGUUGCCAGCGUACUCUCUGGAGUGACGGGUACACUGUGGGACCGCCGCUGCUAAAGCGGAGGAAGGAAUGGGCAACGGUAGGUCAGUAUGCCCCGAAUAUCCCGGGCUACACGCGAGCUACAAUGGUUGGUACAAUGGGUAUCUACCCCGAAAGGGGACGGGAAUCUCCUAAAACCAAUCUUAGUUCGGAUUGAGGGCUGCAACUCGCCCUCAUGAAGCUGGAAUCCGUAGUAAUCGCGUUUCAACAGAACGCGGUGAAUACGUCCCUGCUCCUU
rnacentral:rRNA from 1 species